rnacentral:rRNA from 1 species
UGCAAGUCGAACAAGAAAGUCUCUUCGGAGGCGAGUACAGUGGCGAACGGGUGAGUAACGCGUAGAUAACGUGCCUUUUAGUGGGGGAUAACUUAUCGAAAGAUGAGCUAAUACCGCAUAAGACCACAGUAUCCAAGGAUACAGGGGUCAAAGAUUUAUUGCUAAAAGAGCGGUCUGCGUCCGAUUAGUUUGUUGGUGGGGUAAAGGCCUACCAAGACGAAGAUCGGUAGCUGGUCUGAGAGGAUGAUCAGCCACAUUGGGACUGAGACACGGCCCAGACUCCUACGGGAGGCAGCAGUAGGGAAUCUUGCGCAAUGGAGGAAACUCUGACGCAGCGACACCACGUGAGUGAUGAAGGCUUUCGGGUUGUAAAACUCUGUUCUUGAUGAACAAAAAAAUGAGUGUAAUCAAGGAGAAAAGACCGGCUAACUUCGUGCCAGCAGCCGCGGUAAGACGAGGGGUCUAAGCGUUGUCCGGAAUCAUUGGGCGUAAAGCGAAUGUAGGCGGCUUUGUAAGUCAGAAGUGAAAGUCUUAGGCUUAACCUAAGAAGUGCUUUUGAUACUACAAGGCUUGAGUUUGGAAGAGGGUAAUAGAAUUCUCGGUGUAGUGGUGAAAUACGUAGAUAUCGGGAGGAAUACUCGAGGCGAAGGCGAUUGCCUGGUCCAAUACUGACGUUGAGAUUCGAAAGCGUGGGGAGCGAACAGGAUUAGAUACCCUGGUAGUCCAUGCUGUAAACGAUGGACACUUGGUGUUGAUGGAAUUGACCCCAUCAGUGCCGGAGCUAACGCGUUAAGUGUCCCGCCUGGGGAGUACGGUCGCAAGAUUAAAACUCAAAGAAAUUGACGGG